GCCCGCAUAGCUCAGUCGGUAGAGCAUCAGACUUUUAAUCUGAGGGUCGCGGGUUCAAGUCCCUCUGCAGGCG
rnacentral:tRNA from 1 species